rnacentral:rRNA from 1 species
AACGAACGCUGGCGGCAGGCUUAACACAUGCAAGUCGAGCGCCCCGCAAGGGGAGCGGCAGACGGGUGAGUAACGCGUGGGAAUCUACCCAUCUCUACGGAAUAACGCAUGGAAACGUGUGCUAAUACCGUAUACGUCCUUCGGGAGAAAGAUUUAUCGGAGAUGGAUGAGCCCGCGUUGGAUUAGCUAGUUGGUGAGGUAAAGGCCUACCAAGGCGACGAUCCAUAGCUGGUCUGAGAGGAUGAUCAGCCACACUGGGACUGAGACACGGCCCAGACUCCUACGGGAGGCAGCAGUGGUGAAUAUUGGACAAUGGGCGCAAGCCUGAUCCAGCCAUGCCGCGUGAGUGAUGAAGGCCCUAGGGUUGUAAAGCUCUUUCACCGGUGAAGAUAAUGACGGUAACCGGAGAAGAAGCCCCGGCUAACUUCGUGCCAGCCGCCGCCGUAAUAC